rnacentral:rRNA from 1 species
GACGAACGCUGGCGGCGUGCUUAACACAUGCAAGUCGAACGGAAAGGCCUCUUUCGGGGGGUACUCGAGUGGCGAACGGGUGAGUAACACGUGAGUAACCUGUCCUUGACUUUGGGAUAACUUCAGGAAACUGGGGCUAAUACCGGAUAGGAGCUCCUGCUGCAUGGUGGGGGUUGGAAAGUUUCGGCGGUUGGGGAUGGACUCGCGGCUUAUCAGCUUGUUGGUGGGGUAGUGGCUUACCAAGGCUUUGACGGGUAGCCGGCCUGAGAGGGUGACCGGCCACAUUGGGACUGAGAUACGGCCCAGACUCCUACGGGAGGCAGCAGUGGGGAAUAUUGCACAAGGGGUGGAAGCCUGAUGCAGCAACGCCGUGUGCGGGAUGACGGCCUUCGGGUUGUAAACCGCUUUCGCUCAUGACGAAGCUUUGUGUGACGGUAGUGGGUAAAGAAGCACCGGCUAACUACGUG